CUACUCACUUCAGCAGCAAAUAUACUAAAAUUGUGAUGAUACAGAAAAGAUUACCAUGGCCCCUACACAAAGAUGACACACAAAUUCAUGAAGCAUUCUAUAUUUUU
ensembl:snRNA U6 U6 spliceosomal RNA